rnacentral:rRNA from 1 species
GAUGAACGCUGGCGGCGUGCCUAAUACAUGCAAGUCGAGCGAACAGAUGAGGAGCUUGCUCCUCUGACGUUAGCGGCUGACGGGUGAGUAACACGUGGAUAACCUACCUAUAAUACUGGGAUAACUUCGGGAAACCGGAGCUAAUACCGGAUAAUAUAUUGAACCGCAUGGUUCAAUAGUGAAAGACGGUUUUGCUGUCACUUAUAGCUGGAUCCGCGCCGCAUUAGCUAGUUGGUAAGGUAACGGCUUACCAAGGCAACGAUGCGUAGCCGACCUGAGAGGGUGAUCGGCCACACUGGAACUGAGACACGGUCCAGACUCCUACGGGAGGCAGCAGUAGGGAAUCUUGCGCAAUGGGCGAAAGCCUGACGGAGCAACGCCGCGUGAGUGAUGAAGGUCUUCGGAUCGUAAAACUCUGUUAUUAGGGAAGAACAAAUGUGUAAGUAACUAUGCACGUCUUGACGGUACCUAAUCAGAAAGCCACGGCUAACUACGUG